rfam:Gossypium arboreum cultivar AKA8401 contig_4924_11, whole genome shotgun sequence.
AAUCCAUGGUGCAGGAAUUUUUGAAUCAACAUUUUGAAUCAUUCUCAUGCCUCGUAGAAACUUCCUCCCUCCAUUUGUCUAAAAACAACAAUUUCUCUUAUUAGUUG